AGAGUUUGAUCAUGGCUCANGAUGAACAUUGGUANCAUGCCUAACAUAUGCAAGUCGAACGCNAAAGGUAUAAUCUGAAANGAGAAAUCUGAUUAAGGUUAUACUGAGUAAAGUGGCNAAAGGGUGAGUAAUGCUUAUCUUACCUACCGUUUANUGGGGUACCAUGNAAAGCCGUGGGGAAUGCCGCAUAUUCUGGCUUCGGUCANGAAAGGAAGUCGUAAGGCUUCUGCUAAAUGACGGGGAUAAGUCGCAUCAGCGCGCUGGUGGGGUAAUGGCCCACCAAGGUAAUGGCAAUGACGCGUANCCGGGCUGAGAGGCUGACCGACCACAAGGGAACUGAAACACUGAUCCUACUCCUACGGGAGGCAGCAAUGGGGAAUCGUUGGCAAUGGGGGAAACCCUGACCACGCAAUGCUACGUGAAGGAUGAAGGUCUACGGAUUGUAAACUUCUUUACCAGAGGUUACACUUUGACAAAAAGUCACGACUAACUACGUGCCANCAGUCGCGGUAAGACGUANGUGGCGAAUGUUAUCCGGAAUUAUUGGGCGUAAAGGGUGCGUAGAUGGCCUGAUAAGUUAGCAGUGGGAAAUCGAGGCUCAACCUCGUGGAAACUGGUAAUACUGUUAGGCUCGAGUGCAGGAGAGGUUAACGGAACUCCAUGUGGAGCGGUAAAAUGCGUAGAUAUAUGGAAGAACACCAAUAACGGCGAAGGCAGUUAACUAUUCUGUUGCUGACAUUGAGGCACGAAAGCGUGGGGAGCAAAACGGAUUAGAUACCCGUGUAGUCCACGCCCUAAACGAUGAGUGCUAGACAUUGGGAACUUGAUUCUCAGUAUCGCUAGGUAACCCGGUAAGCACUCCGCCUGAGUAGUACGCUCGCAAGAGUGAAACUCAAAGGAAUUGACGGGGACUCGCACAAGCAGUGGAGCAUGUGGUUUAAUCCGAUACGACGCGUAGAACCUUACCAAGGCUUGACAUGUAAGGUAGCAAUACUAAACUAGGGCAACCUAGUUGAAUUACACAGGUGCUGCAUGGCCAUCGUCAGUUCGUGCCGUGAGGUGUAUGGUUAAGUCCUAUAACGAACGCAACCCUUAGGCUUAGUUACCAGCGGGUAAAGCCGGGCACUCUAGGUCGACUGCAGAUAUGUUUUACAUAUCCUUACUGAGUAAUCAGGAGGAAGGAAAGGAUGACGUUUGGUCGUCAUGGCCCUUAUGUCUUGGGCGACACACGUGCUACAAUGGUUAGUACAAAGCGUUGCCAACCCGCGAGGGGGAGCUAAUCGCAAAAAACUAACCCCAGUUCAGAUUGGAGGCUGCAACUCGCCUCCAUGAAGGCGGAAUUGCUAGUAAUCGCAAAUCAGCCAUGUUGCGGUGAAUACGUUCUCGAGUCUUGUACACACCGCCCGUCAAGUCACGAAAAUCGGUGCUACUUAGAGCCAACCAAAGUUGGUGAGGGUAGGAUUGGUGAUUGGGGCUAAGUCGUAACAAGGUAGCCGUAG
rnacentral:rRNA from 1 species